UAGGGAAUCUUCGGCAAUGGACGAAAGUCUGACCGAGCAACGCCGCGUGAGUGAAGAAGGUUUUCGGAUCGUAAAACUCUGUUGUUAGAGAAGAACAAGGACGUUAGUAACUGAACGUCACCUGACGGUAUCUAACCAGAAAGCCACGGCUAACUACGUGCCAGCAGCCGCGGUAAUACGUAGGUGGCAAGCGUUGUCCGGAUUUAUUGGGCGUAAAGCGAGCGCAGGCGGUUUCUUAAGUCUGAUGUGCAAGCCCCCGGCUCAACCGGGGAGGGUCAUUGGAAACUGGGAGACUUGCGUGCAGAAGAGGAGAGUGGAAUUCCAUGUGUAGCGGUGAAAUGCGUAGUUAUAUGGAGGAACACCGGUGGCGAAGGCGGCUCUCUGGUCUGUAACUGACGCUGAGGCUCGAAAGCGUGGGGAGCAAACAGG
rnacentral:rRNA from 1 species